CACUCCCUUGUAGUAAAUCACCCCUUGCAGGAUUUGCAUUUCAGAAACAAAGGUCGCAGGCGGAUAACCCAGAGACAAACGGACCCAAUUACCCGACUGCCUGACGCCAGCUGUGACUGUUUUGAAAUAAUGCGGAAAGAAGAAGAAUGCAAGACCUUCACUACUUUGAUCCUUAUCAUCUACCCCGGACUGCAGCCCCACAUAUAAAAUCUUCUCCGAUUCCCGAAGGAGGUGGGGGGCACUGUCCUUGAGGCGCUAGCCUGCUGUGUCUUCCCUUGUGCCUGGCUGAAAAAUCAAGCCAUCUCUCUCUUCCUCCAAAAUCUCUGUCUCCGAAUUUCUGUUCGGCAUCGGUGCACAGAGAAGCCGAGAUUUCGUCCACAAAAUGGGGCUCCUCCGCGAUCUGCUCGCAGGCAGGCGGCUCCGCCGUGCCCCUCGGCUUGAUCGGAAGCUUGGGGAUCUCUCUCCACGCCCUUCAGGAGAGCGGAGGGUUCGAGGAUAUCCUUGAGUCCAGAUCGCCAGGGACUCCCUGCCCCAGGGCUGUGCCCCAUCACACCCGGCCCGCCGACGCGGCUGCGGAACUCCGAGGCUGCGGCAGAGAACGCGGGAGAGGCUGACCCAGCAGCUGCCAGGCUUCUUUUGCCUUAAGGACACCUUCUCUUCUCUUGCCCGUGCCGGCCUGGACUUCCACUCUGAGAAAACACUAAAUAUUGGAAGAUCAGAAAGAGGGCAUACGGAGGUCGCGACACACCCCGUCAGCAUCUACGACCAUAAUGCUAAAUUGGAUAUAAAGAAGCUCUUCUCCUCAAGCUACUUAUGGUUUACAACAAUUUGGUGAUUUACACUUACGGUAAUCUAUCUUUGGAUGAAGAUCAGAUGCCCCACUACCUACAACCAGAGGAUUAUACAUACUGGAAAAGACAUAAUUUAAAGGACUAUCUCCAAACUGGAUGGAAGGACCCUUAUCAGAUUACAAUAGGUUCACAUCAAGAUAAUGAUGAUGCAAAGAUUCCAGCCAUUUCUCAGAACAGAUCCUGCCAAAACAACAACAGAAGUCACCCCGGGGCCCUUAAUAAGACAGGAAACAAGGUCGCCGGCGGAUAACCCAGAGACAAACGGACCCAAUUACCCGACUGCCUGACGCCAGCUGUGACUGUUUUGAAAUAAUGCGGGAAGAAGAAGAAUGCAAGACCUUUACUACUUUGAUCCUUAUCAUCUACCCCGGACUGCAGCCCCACAUAUAAAAUCUUCUCCGAUUCCCGAAGGAGGUGGGGGGCACUGUCCUUGAGGCGCUAGCCUGCUGUGUCUUCCCUUGUGCCUGGCAGAAAUAUCAAUCCAUCUCUCUCUUCCUCCAAAAUCUCUGGCUCCGACUUUCUGUUCGGCAUCGGUGCACAGAGAAGCCGAGAUUUCGGCAACAGUUCUACUUAUUAACCCAAGGCUGAAGUCUCAGGCAAAGUGGGCUGCGUUUAUAUUUCAGGGACAUGUAAGAGUUCACCUCGAGCUUUCUCCUAGGCAUAUUUUUGUUCUCACAGGGUCAGAAUUCUGAAAAAAAGUAUUUUAUCAAACCAGCUUUCUCUAACUGCAUAUGCAAAAAGAAACAGUUUUGGCAUAAAAAAACUUCAUCUUGGCCAUUUUUCUCCAGAGUCUAAAGAACAC